CUACUGGCUUCAGCAGCACAUAUACUAAAAUUAAAAUGAUACAGAGAAGAUUAACCCUCAUGCAAGGAUUACACGCAAAUUCAUGAAUUGUUCCGUAUUUUU
ensembl:snRNA U6 U6 spliceosomal RNA